rnacentral:rRNA from 1 species
GGGCGUAAAGCGCAUGCAGGUGGUUUGUUAAGUCAGAUGUGAAAGCCCGGGGCUCAACCUCGGAACUGCAUUUGAAACUGGCAGACUAGAGUACUGUAGAGGGGGGUAGAAUUUCA